rnacentral:tRNA from 1 species
GCGUCGGUGGCAGAGUGGUCAAAUGCAUCUGGCUGUAGACCAGACGGGCUUGCCCUUCGGGGGUUCGAAUCCCUCCCGGCGCA